rnacentral:rRNA from 1 species
UACGGAGGAUGCGAGCGUUAUCCGGAUUUAUUGGGUUUAAAGGGUGCGUAGGCGGAGUGUCAAGUCAGCGGUAAAAUUUCGGGGCUCAACCCCGUCGUGCCGUUGAAACUGACACCCUUGAGUGAGUGAGAAGUAAGCGGAAUGCGUGGUGUAGCGGUGAAAUGCAUAGAUAUCACGCAGAACGCCGAUUGCGAAGGCAGCCUACCGGCUUCUGUCUGACGCUGAGGCACGAAAGCGUGGGUAUCGAACAGG